CUGGAUCGCCGGUGGACCCUGGGCGGGAUGGUCAACAGGCAGCACAGCCGAGAAGAGAAGUAUGUCACCGUGCAGCCCUACACCAGCCAAAGCAAAGACGAGAUCGGCUUUGAGAAGGGUGUCACUGUGGAGGUGAUUCGAAAGAACCUGGAAGGCUGGUGGUACAUCAGGUAGGAGCCUGGCUCCUGGGGAACAGAGCUCAGUGCACAGUAGCUGAUGGGCAGGUAGAUGCUGAUGACAACUGAGUGCCAGCUCUGCUCGCUUCACUGGUUGCCUCCUAGGACCUGAGAGCAAAGGCUGAGCCCCAGCCAGUAGGGAUGGGAGCUGGCUCAGCUCACGGGCAGUGGUGCAGUCCCCUUCCCAGGCA
rnacentral:lncRNA from 1 species